rnacentral:lncRNA from 1 species
UUUAAUUAUUAAAUCUAUGGAGCCUAGAUAUCACCCUUAGUUUCUCAAUGGUUCUUCGUUGUAUAUCUGUGGGACAUUUAUGCCCAUGAUACAUGGUCUCUGUUCGUGUGUGUGUGUGUGUGUGUUAUCAAUCUAUGAACUAAGACUGUCAAUUAUACACAUAAAGUCUAAAUGACUAUGAUGUUAUCAGAUUGAGAAUCUAGCAAUUACGUGAUUGUUUGGAAAAAGAAUAUUGUUCUAUCUGUACAUAAGGUUUAGAAUACCUGGACCCAAGAACUCAAUUAAGAACAUGUAACUUUCUGAGCACGUUGUUACAUCUCAAACAGGGAGCGAAUUGACCUCGAGC